AAAGAAGUAGCUAUUAUUCACGAAAAUCCAUUUUUUUCUCGAUUUUUUCGAUGGAUUUUGGUGAAAGUACGCCGAAGAAGAAAUCGAAACAAUCCCCUAACGCAACACCCAUUAAGCAGCAAAACCCACUUCCCAUUUCCAGUUUAUCUCCUUCAGAUCCCAUUUUCCCUAAAACCCCACAAACCCUAAACCCCACCAAUUGCCGCCGUUCUGUUCGCCUUAGAGCCACCCCUCGAACGCCGGCGCCGGAGCCUCUGUCGCCUCCAACUUCUGCCCGACGAGGUAAGUCUCUGAACUUUACUACGAAAAAUGGUACCAAUUCAGCUAAAAGAAGGAAAUCUAAAGUUGCUGCUUUAACCCCUAUUUUGACACCGG
rnacentral:misc_RNA from 1 species